UAUACACGAGAGAGAUAAAGGAAAGGAAUUCUUAGAAGGUUCAUCAUCUUCAUUGGCUUCUGGGGAAAAAGAAUAUGAGAAGGGGUCCUUUGGGAAAAAAAAAUUCAUCAUCCUCACAUACACACGCACACUGUGAUACUCCAAAAAAUUCACUCAUCCCUCAUCUCACCGAAAAUCCCAUGACUCACCGAAAAUAGAACAUACACACGAUAGAGAGAGAGUGAGAGAUUCGAGAAUGGGAGGGAGAUAGAGGGAGAGAGGUCGAGAUCUGUAACGGAGAAGAAUGCGGGGUUGAUUUCGGGUUACUUGAAAAUGGGUUCCGAUGGGUUUGGUCGCUAUUCCGGCGAUUACUUCACCAAAAUAUCGUCGUGCUCUCCUGAUUUUUUGGUGAAUUCGAUAGGGAGACCAUAAUCUCAUCAGAACAAUCCAUUUUUUUUCAAAUGAUUUCAAGCGCUCCGUUCAGGAAAUAUUCUAACUCGCCGGAAUUCGACUUAUUUUUGUCUGUUCUGGUCACCGUUAGCUCACGGGAGCUCGGUCUACAUCAGGUUUCUAUUUUUUGUUAGUUUGUUAGGAUUUUUGGUUCGUCUUUUAUUUUGUUCGUCGUCGAUAUCGGGUUUCGAUUGGUUGCAUGGUAAAAAGGGUCGUCGUUCAAGAUUUAAAUUCUGUGUUAGGAGUUUAUUUUUAUGUUAGGAAUUUAUAUUCACGGAUCUCAAAGCUAUUUGGUUAUUAUUUUGAUAUCGAGUUCGGAGCAUAUUCAUCGUUGAGAUGCUAUUGAGGAUUCCAAAUUCAGGUUUUCUUUAAUUCGUAUUAUCAACAAAAAUUUGAUAUCGGAAGGUUCAUUCCUUAACUCUAUCUCUUCAUUAUUUUGAAUGUGAUUUUGUUGUGAUUUUGCGAUUUGGGUUUGGAUAUUUUAGUCGUAUUAAUUGUUGUUGCGAGUAUGAAUUACUCAUGUGCAUGAAAUGUUUGAAUCUCUGUUGGAUGUUUGAUGUUGUUUGGCUUUGAAUCUCAAUGGCAUAAAUGUGAUGAUAAUAUAAAUUUGGGUUUGUAUAAAAAAAAAAAAAAAAGUAAUUUUGGGGUGGGAAUUGAAAGAUUAGUAAAAUGAUUUUGGUUUAAUUUUGAUUUAUUGAUUAUAUUAAUUUUGUUGAACUUGAUAGUAUCAUGUCUUAGGUUGCGCGUCGAUAGGCAAAUUCUAAGUUGGGGUAGGCAACUCAUAGGAUUCUAAUCAUCGAAUGUGUAAUUAUUUGUGUUGAGUGAUUUUUUUAUUUUUAUCGUAUUUUAUUAAAUGUAUUUAUUAAGUCGGGGAAUGCCCCGAAGCUCAUUUGUAUUUAUUCACCGGGGAAUGCCCCGACGUAUUAUGUUGGCAGAAGAUGUUCGUGAUCAAGACCCAAGGCACCGGGUGGAGCGUAGUUUAGGAUUAACGUAGGUUUACAUUUCAGUUCCUUCUAUUUUGGGUUUGUAAUAAUUAGACUGAACAUUAACUUUUGGAUUUUCGUUUGUUUGGUUUGGUUGUUUUUAUGUGUUUUGUGGUUUAUACAUUCAUAAUGUCAUACUAGCCGAUAUGCUCCACCAAGCGAUCGUGGUCGAACCAUGGGAUCGAGGGGUGCCUAACACCUUUCCCUCGGUCAACAGAAUUCCUUAGCUGGAAUCUCUGUUCUCAAACCAGUUUUAAAAUAGUCAAACCGUUUUAAAAGGAUUUUUCAAAAGGUGACUUGGCACACUGGAUUUAUGUCAAGUGGUGACUCUGAGUUUUGAAUAUAAAAAGUCCUUUUCGAAAUAAUUCUUCAUUUUGUCACUUUAAUAAUAAUAAAAACAAAACUUUCGAAACCUUAAAAUGGAAUUCUUUCAGGUUAAAAAAGGGGUGUGACACUUUUAAGUAAACUUAAAAAUUUAUAUAAUCAUUUAAAAGAACUGUAAUUUUAGAUAAUUAUGAUAUAGUGUAAUUUUUCCUUUAGAAUAAUUUCAUCAAAUAAUUUUGUCAGCUCUCAUCUCAGUCAUUACAAUUUAAAGGAAUAAAUUGGUGUAUAUAUAGUAACUAUUAGCCAAAUUUUCAGAUAUUGGCCUUAUGUUUAAUAGUGGAUUUACCCUCUCAAUUUCCAUGUGAUUAAUCACAUCACUAUGUGAUGACUCCCUUACGUCAUCUCACAACCAACCAUUGAACUUUGGUUACUAAUUUUAUUGAGAAAAGACAUUUUUUUCCCUCAGAAUUUGUUCUUCAAACUCACUUUAGCACUUAAACUUAACUUCUGUUUAUUUACUUCCCUUAACAUCUUUAAAGUAUAUUAUUUUCACCCCUAAAAUUGACGUGAAAUUUAAAAAAAAAUACAUUUUUUAAUUUAAAAAUUGAUAUGGCCCCACUUUUUAAUAUAUAAAUAUGAAAAGAAAAAACACCUUCUUCAUACCCCAUCCCUAUUUCUUCAUCUUCUUUAUACCCCUCCAACUCCAUUUUCCAUCUUCUUCUUCUAUCCCUACCCCCACCAUAAUUUUUACUCUCCAAACCCACUACCACCAGCCCCCCUUCUCCUUCAACCACCAAUUUCUCCACCACCAGCCCGACCCCCUCCCUCCAAAUCCUCAAUUUCUUCUCCUUCAAUUACCAAAUCCUUCACCCCACCUAAACCCCUUGACUUAAGAUCAUUAGAAAAGCAUGAAAUUGAAUUUCUAAAAUUAAAAGUUAUCUUCAUGAAUUUAAAAUUUUGAAAUAAAAUUGAAAUUGAAGAAAAGCUAUUAGUGGUCACUACAAAAAAAACCGUAUUUAGCAACAGGCCGAAAACGUUGCUAAUCAACAUAUAUCCGUCUCUAUCUCAAUUUAGAAGUGAAUCAACGACGGAAUAUGUGUCGUUGCUAUUUUGCGCGUUGCUAACCCUUUAGCAACAGAAAAAAUAAAAUCUGUUGCUAGUUUUGCAACGUCAUAGAGACGACCUAUAUCCGUUGCCAUUUGUAGUAACGAAUAAAUUCGUUAUUAUAUAUAUAAAUGCCUUUACUAAUUUCAUAUUGUAUUUCGUCAUUUUGAUUAUUUCGUGAACAAAUAUUUCAUUGCUAGUCCGUUGCUAAAAAUUUUUAUAUUUAGUCUCCAAUUUUUUGUGAUAAAAGAUUAUUUUCCUCAAUCCAUUGUAAACAUCUACCAACUAUCCUUAAAAGAACCCACAUCAUCCAUAAUACCAAAGAUAGCAAAAUUUAAACACAAUUAUGUCCAAAACAUCCAUAGUAUCACAACACCCAUCUAAACAAAAUUAUGUCCAAACAUCUACAAAUUAUUCUUAAAAUAACCCACAUCCAUCAAGUGUAUAUUGUUGUUGCACAAUUUUAAACAUUUUCAAUAAAAUAUACCAUCAAAAAUCAAUGCACUGAUCAUCAAAAGUAUCACAACUAAUCAAGAUUGCAAUCAUCAACUAAGGAAUCACGAUUGUCCAAAGUAGUAGCCUUUUGCUUCAUAUCCAAGACCAAAUAGUCUCCGCUUUUUUCUCCCCCCACAGCUUGGUAGUAGGCUUCAAUUUGAUCAAUAUCAGAUUCUGAAAAUAUUUUUUCUCAUAAUAUUUCUUCAUAUCUUUUCUGUAAUAGAUGGAGUAAAAUUAUAACGGAUUGUACUUAAAAAUAAUUGGAUAACAAAAACUACUUUAAACUACAAAAUAAGAAUUAAGUAAACUAUUACAUUAAGAUUUAGUCUUACAUGGACGAUUCGGGAAUGUUCAUCAUUGAAAGAUUUUUCUUAAUGACCAUGUGUGUGAACAUACAAAUGUACCAGGUACUGAUACAUAGAAGCCAAUGUGGUAAUCACUUUCAAUAAUGUGAUGCUUGGAAAGAUACGCAGCUUGUCCCAUAUAAGAAAGAAUUAAUGAUGGAUAAACAACAAAAGUAAAAGCUAUCUGCAGAGAAGCAACUCUUAUUAGUACUUUGGUUGAAUUUAUAGUUACCACCAUAAAGGAUUUUUGCUUGGUAUUUUUACAAGCAGGAACGUUAUCAAAUUGAAUAAAACAUUAGGAGAAAAAUGUUAUUUUGACUAUAAACAGUCUAGCUAACACACCUCAGCUUAAUAUCCUCCAAUCUAAUACUCAGUUUAGGAAACUGAUACAAUACCAUCCUGUGUCAAUUUUUUUUAAAGGAACAAAAUUGAAAUGACAAUCUGCAUGCUAAAUGUACGCUCAUACUUGCAAGGAAAAAAUAAUUAAGAAGCUUGUGCGGAAAAGUGAAUUCUUAUUAUUCCCAUAGCAACUCAUGCAAAAAAUGUAAAAGAAGAAGAAAUGAUGCAGAAACACUAAAAUAGUGAAGUAUAACUAUGAUUUCUCGGUACCUUUCAGCAGCUUAAUGAGAACCAAAUUACUUGCAUUUGUUGUCUUCUGCAACAUCGACCCUAUAACAAGUGUUGGGAGCACAGUUACCAUAUCUUUUCCCCUUUGCUUUGCGUAUGACCAAGCUUCUUAAUCAGCUAACAGUACCAGUUCUGCAUGCAUUUGGAACCACAAAAUACAUUCAGAUAGGGAGCUUCUCUAGCAAAAUAAGCACUUAAGAGUCAAAUCUGAAUUUAUAUUAUAAGGACUAACUCAAUUAGAUAGCACACUGCUCAAGUAAUUAAGUAAUCAAUAUACAGAUCAUAUAUUACUAUACCAACAUUACGUAUCGUAUGCAAGAAGCAUGAAUAAUAAUCUUAAAUUUACACAGAAGUCCAAUUCACAAACUCUAUAUUUGUUGCUUUGCAGAAUUUUCUAUCAGAACAACAAGUCUCAUCCAUCGAUUUGGACUUCAGCCAGUUAGGGUUCAAGACAGAAGUAGCAACAGAAGAUACAGACACAACUCUCUUAAUAUUUUCUCAAAGCAUGACUUUGAAAUAUUAACUGUGCCUUUUACUGCAGGGUCAACAAUUUCAAACUGUAAUCUAGACAUUGAAUAUAUUGCUUUUGAUAAUGCAUCUAAGAACAAGACUUUUAUUGAUAAGUUAAAAGUUGACCUUUCUCCGUUAUUACCUGAAAUAUUUCAUUUUAAGUGUGCUUUUCAUAUAUAUAAUUUAAUUGUAAGAGAUAGUCUUGAAUUUUUUGAGCUUUAUAUUGAAAAGGUCCGACAUGUUGUUGGCUUUAUUCGAGGAAAUAAUUGGAAAUUAAGAGUGAGAGAAUUUAAAGCUAAAUGUGAAUAAAAUGGACUGAGACCGAUAUUUAUGUCUAAAGAAUAUGAUACUACAUGGAAUGCUACUCAUGCUUAUUUAAAAACUUGUUUUGCUUAUAAGGUCCCUAUUACAAUAACUUUUAUUCAAUAUUCUGGUUCUUUUACAACUGUGUAUGCUACAUGAUUCUGAUUGGGCUGCAACUGCUGAUCUUGUUCAGUUUUUGAAAAAAAUUUAUAUAGCUACGGUUGAAUUUUCUGGUACUUAUUAUCCUACUGUUUGUAAAAUUUUAGCUUAUUUAGCCGACAUUUCUUGUUUGCUUAAAAAAUAUUAGAAUAGAGAAGGUUAUAAAGAAGUUGUUACUAUUAUGUUUGCUAAAUUUAAAAAAUAUUUCUUUUUUGCUUUCCCCAAUUUACUUGAUUGAUGCUAUAAUAAAUCCAUGUAUGAAAUAUAAUACUGUGACCGAAUUUAGUUCUAUUAUUUAUACUGCCUUAGAGAUAGAGCCUGAAGAAGAACCUUCUUUGUUUAUGGCUAUGAGUGAUGCGAACAGUUACAUGGAAGCAUUAUAUAACCAUUAUGCUGAUUUACUUGAUAUAGCCAUACCGAGAAAUGUCACUCCAACUGUCGCUUCUCAAGCUCCCGAGGAGUCAUCAUCGUCUAAAAGGCCAGCACAUAGUGAUUUUCCUGAUUACUUUUAUGAUUUAAAUGUUUAGGACAUGGUUGUGACUUCAACAUACAGAACAAGUUCUCAGAAAAAGCUUAAGUAUUAUCUUCGAUAGCCAAUAGAGGAUUGUAGAAUAAGGAUCAACACGUUGGAUUGGUGAAAGAAUAAUAAAAGACAAUAUUCUGUGCUUUCAAGAUUAGCUAGAGAUAGAUAUAUUGAAUAUUCAAAUGUCAACCGUUGCAUCAGAGAGUGCUUUUAGUCAGGGACGACAACAGCUUGGAGACAACUGACAGUCAUUGAGAAGCAAUGUAAUGAAUGUUCUAAUUUGCCUUAGAGAUUGGAUUACAGCAGAACGAAGAAAUCAAGAAAUAGAGGUGGAGCCGAAAGACGAACAAAAUCUUGAACAAAUUAUGACUUCAAGGGAGAACUCAACACAAUCAAGUCUAAUGCAUAGUUUUGUCCUCAUUGAUUUUGACUUUUCUAUUGCAGUUCCCAUUAAUAUUAACAUGCAUGAGUUGAAAAAAAUAAUAUAAAAUUUAUACAUUUUUUAUUCAUGCAAAUUAUAAGUUUUGGAUCAUUUUGCAAUCAAUAAAAUACAACAUUCAUUCACUCCUUACUUUGUAAUUUUUUUUAUUUAAAUUGAAUUUCUAGUUUGAAUUAAAUGCUUUUAAUAUAUUACUAUCAAAUUUUACACUAAGUAAUAAACAUAACAAAUAUAUAUACAUAUAAUGAAAAAAUAAAAAUAAUAUUAGCAAAUAUUACUUAGACAACUAGUAUUGACAUAUAAAAAUACUAUAGUUUUAUAUUUUAAGUGUUGUAUGUAAAAUUAUAUUUUUUUGAAUAUAUGUUAAAACUUCAAGUAUUAUUAUAUUAAGUAGUAUACAUUGUAAUCUUGCAUGUAUAUAUGUGUGUAUAUUUUCUAAAGUACUAUAACAUGUAAUGUAUAUAUCUUUCAACUUUCAAGUGGUAUUUAAAGAAGUAUAUAUUCUACAUAUAUCUAUAUAUAUUUUCUAUAGACUCUAAAGUAGUAUAUAUUUAAUGUAUACAUGUCUAUAUAUUUUCUAAAGUACUAUAUAUAUAGUUUAUAUAUGUUGUAUGUAUAUUAUUUCAAGUGGUAUUUAAAGUAGUAUGUAUUCUACAUAUAUGUACAUAUAUUUUCUAUAGAUUAAAAUAAUAUAUAUUUAAUGUAUACAUGUAUAUAUGUUUCUAAAAUAGUAUAAUAUGUAAUGUAUAUAUGUUAUAUGUGUAUAUAGUUUCUAUAGACUUUAAAGUAGUACAUAUUUAACGUAUACAUGUGUAUAUAUUUUCUAAAUUAGUAUAUAUAUAGUGUAUAUAUGUUGUAUGUAUAUUAUUUCAAGUAGUACAUAUAUUAUAUUGUACAUAUGUAUGUGUAUAUAUUUUCUAUAUACUCUAAAGUAGUAUAUAUUUAACGUAUACAUGUGUAUAUAUUUUCUGAAGUUGUAUAUAUUUAGUGUAUAUAUAUUGCAGGUGUAUUAUUUAAAGUUGUAUUUUAAGUAGUAUAUAUAUUAUAUUGUCUGUAUAUAUGUGUAUAUGUUUUCUAAAGUAGUAUAUAUUUUUACUGCAUAUAUGUUGAAUGUAUAUUGUUUAACGUAUUAAAAUGUAUAUAGGUGUCUAUAUAUUUAAUAAAACAUGCAAAUUCGAUUUCUUUUUACAUUUUGACCGGUCAAAACCGGAUACAUGCUAAGUGGACCGAUUUCGGUCUGUUUCAGCGUAUUUUACUAUUUGGGCUCAGACUGAACCGACCCGUUAAGAGUGACCUGGUACCGAAUUGGCCCAGAAUCCGAUAAAAAUAUGUGGGCCGGUGCCAAUUUGAACUGGACUGGCCCGGUUGAUAGUAGUUCCAAUCUUUAUAGCAAUGAUCCUGCAAUAUUCCUAAACAUGUAUAUUCAUUUCAAUCUAUUUGUCUCCUUGAAAUCUAGGAGUUGUUUAGAUGGUCAUUCCUCAAAUUUCGACAUUAAAUAUAAUUACAAAAAUUAUUUAGAUGCAGAAAUUAUAAUAUAAUUAAAUGACAUAUUUAAAGUUUGAAAUAAUUACAAUUCCCAGCUAAGAUUUAAAUUAAUAGCAAAAGUAUAUUUAUUUGAUUCCUUAUGUAUUUUUUAUAUUUAUUUUAUGUCUUCAAAAAAAAAUAUAUUUAUUUAUUUAUUUAUUUAUUUAUUUCAUAUGUAUUGAGUUAUAUAGUUAAACUAUUUUCCUAGUUCUCUCUCACACACACAUAUAUAUACGUAUGUAUUUGAUGUCAUGUAUUUGUAUAUGUAUUUAUAAGAUAGGUUAGUAAAUUAUAUCAACCGUAUUUGUAUUUAUAUUCGGAAGCGAAUUUCGGGAGCCAAAUACAUUUGUUACUUAACUAUAGUUACAUUUUGUAAUUAGAGAAACAUUGUCCGUGACAGUUGAUUUUUCCAAAAUGUUAACUAUUUCAGAAAUGCCUAAUUGCUCUAAGAAAUUAAUCAAAGACCUUUUAUUGAAUUGAACCUUAUUAAAAUGUGUCACGGCCGAGAUUAACAGAUCGUACGGGCACCGACGCUAUUCUAAGUAAAUAGGAGAACUCUUAUUACCCAACUAAAAAUAUGCGGAAGACUGCUAUUUUUAAGGGAAUACUAGAUUAAAUAUAAUAAGUAAAUUAAAUACUAAUAAAUAAAUUAUUUCAAAAACUUCUUACAAAUGUCCUUCACUAUCCCAAGACUUGGCCAGACCUGUACAAGAGCUACCUAUUACAGCAUAGACUGACAGUAAAAUAAAUAAUACAAGGACUCUAACAUUUACCAGGAAGAAAGUGAAGAAGUUAGUGCUGAAUAUCGUCAUCCAUCUAGUAACUGUAAACUAACCUGCAUCCAGUCUACACUCCAAGAAGAAAUGUAGAAGAGUAGGGUCAGUACAACCACACGUACUGGUACGUAUCAUUGACCGACUGUGUUAGUCCAUAUAAUCAUAAAAUAUAAUUAAAGAAAAUAAAUCAUGACAUCUUGAAUGGAAUAUAAUUCAACUAAGAUUGUAAUAACAUUAUUACUUUACCUAUAUAACUUAUAUCAUCCAAGUACUCUUCUAACUCCAUCAAUAUUGUAUUCACUACUAACAUACUCUAGCCUCAUUAAUUCACACAAUCAACUACAAUCCAAAGCUAAUACAUCACUAUUCCUCUUUAUUCACCUUAUCUUUUUCAUACUCAUAUUCACAGGAACAAACCUGUAAUCAUAGACAACCCAUACUAAACUCUCUGGCUAACAACCAAAUGCUCUUUUAUAAUAUUAAAGAAUGAUAACUAGCCAUUCUGGUAAGCUACGAUUAAAACACGUAUAAAUGAAGCAAGUCAACCAACAUAUAAGUAAUUACAAAGCUUCAUUUUUUCAAAUACAUAUCACACAAUCAAAUACCCAAUAAAUCAACAAUACAAUAAUAACAGAUCAAACAGUGCUCACAAACAAGCCACAUAACCAUCAAGAAUAUCAACCAUAUUGUAAACAUGCACAGACUCAAUACAAAUAUGUACACACAUGCUAAGGGACUUAUUUUUGCCCAAAUAAUCAUGACCUGCAGGGAACAAUCUAUGUUCAUGUAACGUACCGUUGUGGUACCCGAUGUAAUAUAGAUACAUAUCCGUACCGGAGUGGUACCCGAUCCAUCAUACAUAAAUUUAUACCGGCGUGGUACCCAAUCCAACAUACACAUAUCUGUACCGGCGUGGUACCCGAUCCAACAUAUACAUAUCUGUACCGGCGUGGUAUCCGAUCCAUCACAAAUAGGUAAUAUCAGUAUCAAAUUUACACUACCACACAGCAUACAACACGAUGUGUCAAGUUUACAAGUACACUUAAAGUCAUAAGACAAUUUGAUCAAGUAAAUUUCCAAUAAUCAUUUAUACACGCAUCAACAAUUUCGAGCAUGUUCUAAUACCAAUCAACAAGUAGCCAAUUUAGGAGCAUACACACAACUAAAUCUAGUAUAAACUUCAAUUAAAUCAUAACCUACUAUCUACAUUUUAUUAAAUUCCCACUAUCUUUCGGGAUGCAAUAUGACGUACUAAAUCUAUAAGUGUAGUUAAAAUCAUAAAGAAAUUCGAUCAAGUUCUUUUAUUUAUCAAUAUUUUGACCCUCUCACGGGUAUUAUUUUAAUAAUUCAUCACGAUCAUCAACAAGCCAUUUAUGACAUUAAUUUAAGGAGUUAUCAUUAUCAAACAAGCCUCUCAUAUACACAUUUUAAUAAAUUAUCAUUAUCACUAAUUUAGCCACUCAUGGGCAUCCAAUAGAUAAAGUUCUUUUAUCAAUACCAAAACAAGAAUAUCAGAAAAUAAAUCAUAAUUUAUCACUUAAGCAUGCAAGUCACAAUUGGAGCAUUGCUUACUUAUUAAUUGUUAAAAUGUCACUACCUCUUUCCAUAUAAUAUAAUCAUCACACUAAUUCAAGUCAUCUAUCCUUUAGAUAUUACUAUGCUCAUCAAUGCUUAAUCCUAGCAUGGUUCUCCUCACCAUAUUAUUGUCCAACACAUACAACUUAAUAUCAUUAUAACUCAGCUAGGUUCAUCACCAAAACAAAUAAAAACUAUAAUUUCCACAUCCUUCAUUUACUACAAUCUCAUUGCGGCACAUAGUACAUAAUAUCACAAAUAUCACAUAAUUAAUCAAUAAUAUAGUUUUCGGAAUUAAAGUUAAGUUCUCGUGUCUUUAUCCACAUCAACUCCAUGCCCGCAGGCCUAGACAUUCUUCUCCCAUCAAUUCAAAAUUUUGAAAAUAUAAAAUAACACAAUCUGCUACUCAUUAAACCUAUCCUACUUGGACGCCAAGCUUUUGGGAGACUCAAGCUGCAACAAAGAUGCUCUUUCCUUUCCUUCAUGCCUUGGAAUAAUGAAUCAUCUAAAAAUCAAGCAAUUAUAAGAGUAAUUAAAUAAUUACUCUUCAAACAAAUAUCUUGGGGAUUCAAACCUAGUAAUUCUACCCUUAAUUCAAGGUCUAUAUCAUUCUUCAAGUUCAAUUAUUCAUUAAUUAGCUCUUUCAAGCUUAGUUCAUCUCCAUUAAUGGAGUUUUUAUGCUAAAGGUCUCAUCUUUACGAAAUUCAAGAUUCCUAACCAUCAAAACUCAUAAUCUAGUUUAUGAAAUUCAUGUUAGGAAUCUUUAAUUUAUAGAUUACAAUCAGCUUUAAGUUAUAUUAAAAACACCCAUGAGUAUUCCCAAAAGAAUUCCACCAUUAAAGGUUUUUUUUAA
rnacentral:lncRNA from 1 species